AUUGAACGCUGGCGGCAGGCCUAACACAUGCAAGUCGGACGGUAGCACAGAGGAGCUUGCUCCUUGGGUGACGAGUGGCGGACGGGUGAGUAAUGUCUGGGGAUCUGCCCGAUAGAGGGGGAUAACCACUGGAAACGGUGGCUAAUACCGCAUAACGUCGCAAGACCAAAGAGGGGGACCUUCGGGCCUCUCACUAUCGGAUGAACCCAGAUGGGAUUAGCUAGUAGGCGGGGUAAUGGCCCACCUAGGCGACGAUCCCUAGCUGGUCUGAGAGGAUGACCAGCCACACUGGAACUGAGACACGGUCCAGACUCCUACGGGAGGCAGCAGUGGGGAAUAUUGCACAAUGGGCGCAAGCCUGAUGCAGCCAUGCCGCGUGUAUGAAGAAGGCCUUCGGGUUGUAAAGUACUUUCAGCGGGGAGGAAGGCGAUGCGGUUAAUAACCGCGUCGAUUGACGUUACCCGCAGAAGAAGCACCGGCUAACUCCGUGCCAGCAGCCGCGGUAAUACGGAGGGUGCAAGCGUUAAUCGGAAUUACUGGGCGUAAAGCGCACGCAGGCGGUCUGUUAAGUCAGAUGUGAAAUCCCCGGGCUUAACCUGGGAACUGCAUUUGAAACUGGCAAGCUUGAGUCUUGUAGAGGGGGGUAGAAUUCCAGGU
rnacentral:rRNA from 1 species